UGAGAAAGGACAUGUGCCGAGUACAGAAA
rnacentral:piRNA from 1 species